GUACUUGCUCCGGCAGUACAUAUGUUAAAAUUGGAAUGAUACAGAGAAGAUUAGCUUGGCCCCUGGGCAUGGACGACAUCCAAGUUCAUGAAGUGUUCCAUAUUUUU